UAGAUAGAUGCCCGCUGGUUAAGGCGCUUAGCUGUUAACUAAGCUUUUGUAGGAUCGAGGCCUGCCUAUCUAG
rnacentral:tRNA from 1 species